UACGUAGGGUGCGAGCGUUGUCCGGAAUUAUUGGGCGUAAAGGGCUCGUAGGCGGUUUGUCGCGUCGGGAGUGAAAUCCACUGGCUUAACUGGUGGCUUGCUUUCGAUACGGGCAGACUGGAGGUAUGCAGGGGAGAACGGAAUUCCUGGUGUAGCGGUGAAAUGCGCAGAUAUCAGGAAGAACACCCGUGGCGAAGGCGGCUCACUGGCCCGAUACUGACGCUGAGGCACGAAAGCGUGGGGAGCAAACAGG
rnacentral:rRNA from 1 species